rnacentral:rRNA from 1 species
AUUGAACGCUGGCGGCAUGCCUUACACAUGCAAGUCGAACGGCAGCGGACCUUCGGGUGCCGGCGAGUGGCGAACGGGUGAGUAAAGUAUCGGAACGUACCUUUCAGUGGGGGAGUAACUGUCCGAAAGGACAGCUAAUACCGCAUAUUCUGUGAGCAGGAAAGCAGGGGAGUCGCAAGACCUUGCGCUGAUUGAGCGGCCGAUAUCAGAUUAGCUAGUUGGUGAGGUAAAGGCUCACCAAGGCGACGAUCUGUAGCGGGUCGUGAGAGGAUGAUCCGCCACACUGGAACUGAGACACGGUCCAGACUCCUACGGGAGGCAGCAGUGGGGAAUUUUGGUACAAUGGGGGCGAACCCUGAUCCAGCCAUGCCGCGUGAGUGAAGAAGGCCUCGGUUGUAAG